UACGUAGGGUGCGAGCGUUGUCCGGAAUUAUUGGGCGUAAAGAGCUUGUAGGCGGUCUGUCGCGUCUGCUGCGAAAAUCCGGGGCUUAACCCCGGGCCUGCAGUGGGUACGGGCAGACUAGAGUGCGGUAGGGGAGACUGGAAUUCCUGGUGUAGCGGUGAAAUGCGUAGAUAUUGGGAGGAACACCAGUGGCGAAGGCGGUCCCUGGGCCGGAACUGACGCUGAGGCGCGAAAGCGUGGGUAGCAAACGGGG
rnacentral:rRNA from 1 species